CCUACGGGUGGCAGCAGUGGGGGAUAUUGCACAAUGGGGGAAACCCUGAUGCAGCGACGCCGCGUGAGUGAAGACGUAUUUCGGUAUGUAAAGCUCUAUCAACAGGGAAGAAAAUGACAGUACCUGACCAAGAAGCCACGGCUAACUACGUGCCAGCAGUCGCGGUAAUACGUAGGGGGCAAGCGUUAUCCGGAUUUACUGGGUGUAAAGGGAGUGUAGGCGGGUAUGUAGGUCUGGAGUUAAAGCCCGGGGCCCACCCCCGGGCCUGCUUUGGAAACUGUGUAACUUGAGUACAGGAAGGGCAGGCGGAAUUCCUGGUGUAGCGGUGAAAUGCGUAGAUAUCAGGAGGAACACCGGCGGCGAAGGCGGCCUGCUGGACUGAAACUGACGUUGAGGCUCGAAAGCGUGGGUAGCAAACAGGAUUAGAUACCCGGGUAGUC
rnacentral:rRNA from 1 species